CAGCAACUUGGGGGAAUGCCUUCUUAGUAUAAUAAAUUAAUAUAUUAGAAUUUUUUUAAUAUAUUUAUUUUUAUUAUAAUUAAGAAUUCAAGAAAUUUGAAUGUAAUUCUAGGUAAAAUAUUGAUAAUGACAAAGUUUUAUCUAUACGUCUUGACCAAAUCUUGUGCCAGCAGUCGCGGCAACACAAGGAAGACAAGUGUUAUUCAUCUUAAAUCGGUUUAAGGGGUACCUAGACGGUAAAUUAGCCCUUAAAUGUGGAACGUUUUACUAGAGUUAUAUAUGCAUGAGGAUUAUAUGUGAGUAUUACCAGAGUAGAGAUGGAAUUUUUUGAUACUGUUAAGACUGGUAAAGGCAAAAGCAAACCUUUAUAUAUUAACUGACGUUGAGGGACGAAGGCUUGGGUAGCAAACAGGAUUAGAUACCCUAAUAGUCCAGGCAGAGAAUUAUGAAUGUUAUAGAUUAU
rnacentral:rRNA from 1 species